rnacentral:rRNA from 1 species
UACGUAGGGUGCGAGCGUUGUCCGGAAUUAUUGGGCGUAAAGGGCUCGUAGGCGGUCUGUUGCGUCAGGAGUGAAAACUCGGGGCUUAACCCCGAGCCUGCUUCUGAUACGGGCAGACUAGAGGUAUGCAGGGGAGAACGGAAUUCCUGGUGUAGCGGUGAAAUGCGCAGAUAUCAGGAGGAACACCGGUGGCGAAGGCGGUUCUCUGGGCAUUAACUGACGCUGAGGAGCGAAAGCGUGGGGAGCGAACAGG